UACGGAGGAUGCAAUCGUUAUCCGGAAUGAUUGGGCGUAAAGCGUCCGCAGGUGGCAAUGUAAGUCUGCUGUCAAAGCGUCUGGCUCAACCAGAUAAAGGCAGUGGAAACUACAUAGCUAGAGUAAGGUAGGGGUAGAGGGAAUUCCUGGUGUAGCGGUGAAAUGCGUAGAGAUCAGGAAGAACACCGGUGGCGAAAGCGCUCUGCUGGACCUUAACUGACACUGAGGGACGAAAGCUAGGGGAGCGAAUGGG
rnacentral:rRNA from 1 species